GCGGAGGGGUUGGGUGCUUCCCGCCUUCGGUCGCUCCCUCAGGGAGGGCCGCUCCUCAGGGCCCGGCGCCUGUCCUGUACGGACGCCGUCCCACGUAUUAUCCCCUCUACGCAUGGACAGAUUCGUGGUUAAACGUUCUGCUGAGGAACCCGGGGGUGAUGGCAAGAAGCCCCGGUUGGAGGAGGAGGCGGGCGGCCUGCCCCAUCCCUCACAGCCCAGUCAGGAGAUCCGCGCCCAGGGCCUGAGCCUCGAGUACCGCCUCCUCUUCGGCCGAGCCGAAGCUGACGCGAUCUUCCAGCAGCUGGAAAAGGAGGUGGAGUACUUCGAAGGUGAACAGACGAAGUUGCACGUGUUUGGCAAGUGGCAUAACAUCCCCAGGAAGCAGGUAACCUACGGAGACCCCGAGUUAACGUACACUUACUCAGGUGUCACCUUUUCUCCUAAGCCGUGGAUCCCAGUUCUCAACCACAUCAGAGAUCGGCUUGUUUUGGAAACAGGACAUACUUUUAAUUUCGUUGUUAUUAACAGAUAUAAAGAUGGUGAGGACCACAUAGGUGAACAUCGAGAUGAUGAGAAGGAGCUGGUUCCACGCAGCCCUAUUGCAUCAGUGUCCUUUGGAGCCUGCAGAGACUUUGUUUUCAGGCACUGUGAUUCCAGAGGGAAGAAUGCAACGCGGCACAUUAAGCCCAUCAGACUGCAGCUAGCCCAUGGCAGCCUGCUGAUGAUGAAGUACCCCACUAACGUGUACUGGUACCACAGCCUGCCCAUCCGCAGGAGAGUGCUUGCUCCAAGAAUCAAUCUGACAUUUCGGAAAAUGAUGGCUGUUGACAAAAAGUGAGAUAGCAAUGAAGGACCUGGUCCAUAGACCCUGAAUACUGAAGUUUUCCUCCUCAGUAUAGCUGUCAGUUUCUCAAUCAAGCUGCGUUUGAUGAUCCAAGGCAUUAAACCAGAAGAUAGUGUGCUUGGGAAUCCAUUCUGACUACCUGAAAGCCAUUCCCAUCUGUGCUCCAUCCUACUGAAAUGAGGAAAGAGUGUCCAAAGUCUCCACCAAGUCUUAAGGAAUCAAGCAAUGAGGAGUCCCUUGGUUUGACCAGCUCAGUCUUUGCAGAUGGAUACACAAACACUGAGGGAGCUUCAGCAACGUUCCGUACAAAAGAGAAGUCGAAAUACAUUUUAUGUGAAGAGAAACAGCUGUUAAAAGCAUUCUAAUGGAACUAAAUGGUUAUCUUCAUCUCCUCACUCUGGAUGACUGCAACUUAAUUUGCCUUUGCGUGUGCAAUCACAAUACUGCAUGCUGAAUGAAUAGCUAGUCCUAAAAUGCUACCCAUGAACCAAGUGCAUAUGGAAACUUCUGAUAACGAAACAACAUUGGUAAAGAAGUCACCUCCAGCGAAUGCACAUCAAACAGAUGUGUGACACGUGGCUGACGAUCCCGUUCAUCUUCCAGUGAAGAGGUAAGGACAUGAAAUAGUUCAUGAGCAUCCUAUUAAACAGAGGCAUAAGAGUUACAGGAAGCAAAACAAAGAAACCCACCCAAACAUACACCAGGAGUACUGAUACUUGUAUGGCUAUAACACUGCAUUACAAAAUUAAAGGGGAAAAUCACUGCUUAGAGCUUAUCUUACGUAUUAAUAGUAAUCAAUUGUGCAUCCAAUUCAACUUUAGUAAGAAGUGUUCUGUAUAAAACUGAAUUUAAUAACAGCAGAUGUUAUUAAAAAUAUUCUGGGCUGGAUAAAUUUAAAAGGCACCAAAAUCACUGAAGAAAAAAAAAAUGAAUGCACAAAUGCCUGCUUUCCUGGGUUUCAAUAAAACCAUCACUGAAAUCUGU